rnacentral:rRNA from 1 species
AUUGAACGCUGGCGGCAUGCCUUACACAUGCAAGUCGAACGGCAGCACGGGAGCAAUCCUGGUGGCGAGUGGCGAACGGGUGAGUAAUAUAUCGGAACGUGCCCAGUCGUGGGGAUAACGUAGCGAAAGCUACGCUAAUACCGCAUACGAUCUAUGGAUGAAAGCGGGGGAUCGCAAGACCUCGCGCGAUUGGAGCGGCCGAUAUCAGAUUAGGUAGUUGGUGAGGUAAAGGCUCACCAAGCCGACGAUCUGUAGCUGGUCUGAGAGGACGACCAGCCACACUGGGACUGAGACACGGCCCAGACUCCUACGGGAGGCAGCAGUGGGGAAUUUUGGACAAUGGGCGCAAGCCUGAUCCAGCAAUGCCGCGUGCAGGAUGAAGGCCUUCGGUGUAACUGCUUUGUACGGAACGAACGGUAGAGCUCUAAUACAGUUGCGUAAUGACGGUACCGUAAGAAUAAG